AGGGCUCACAGUUCAGAGACCAUCUUGAAUCUCAGAUGAGACUUUGGACUUCUGAACAGUGUUAAAAUUGCUGCUUCGAGUUGAGAGUUUUUCCAAAAAUGAGAAGAAUUGAGAAAAUAGAGGCCUAGGAUUUGUUAUACCUCACACCUUCAGACCUUCUGCCUGGCACCUUGGAUUUGCUACUCUGGAUUAGCAGUCUCUUUCCCCAUGUGAUGACAUACUUUUCAGUACUAAGGCAGUAAACUAAACUGUCUGCAAGAAGAGGGGUCAUGAAAAGGUUCACUCAGGCCAAUACAAAAACACUCCCCAGGAACAUGUGAAAGACACAGCCUGUACAAAGGGGAGUAGGAUCACAGCUUUGUGCAAACUGCAGGCUAGAUGAAGGAGUGGUUGAGAUUUGGAGAAAGGGUGAGAAAUAAGGUUGGAAGGUUUGUGGGAGGGUAAGUCAAAUAUUACAGAGUUCCAUGUUUAAAAUAUAGCCCUUGUUACCUUGGGAAAGCGAAUGAAGUCUUGCAGUACUUGGAAUCAUGACAUAUUAACUCUUGUUCAUUUUUCCCAUUCUUUGUAGAACCAUGGACUAUUGGAAAUGGAAGGAGAGAUUUUAGAAUGUUUGUUUGGGGGGCUGGAGAGAGGGCUCCAUGGUUAAAGCAGGUGCCUGCAAAGCCUAGCAACCUGGGU